rnacentral:lncRNA from 1 species
GGGGCCUAGUCUGAAGAUUAGGUCUCUGGAGGGUGUGCCUAUGAAGGGGAUAUUUGGGACUCCUGUGUCUUCUUCCUCUUUUUGCUUCCCAGUCACCAUUAGAUGAGCAAUUUGUUCCACCACACUCUCCCAUCAUAAUCGAAACAGGCCUUAAAGCAACAGAUUGACCAACCAUGGUUUGAAAUCUCCCACAGUGUAAGCCAGAGUAAACCUCUCUUCUUUUUAACUUUUUAACUUCUCAGGAAUUUGUUACAGUAACAGAAAGCUAACACUGGAAGAAGCAUCAGCUACUCUACUUUAUUCUGACCACAUCUUCUGGUCUUUCUUUCCUUUUUUGGAAAGGGAGAAAGAGAAAGUUCCUGAAAUUGAAUCCAGGGCCUCAUGUAUGCUAAGCAUGCUCCAUACCACUGAGCUACAUCCCCAAACCCUUUUCUUCUGUUCACAUUACUUCUCAUUGGAAACAGCAGACACUCUGAGAUCCUAGCAAGACUCUCCUAUGUCUGAAGAGUAGACAUUUCCCCAGAAUUUAGUGUGGAAAAAGUGUCGAUGUAAAUUUCUGGGUAUCUUUUGGGAAAAUGGAACCUGGACACCUAAAGACAGGAAAACAAGAAAUAAAACCUUAAGUGGAAUUUGAAGAGGUCUUGGUGGAAGGUGGAAGAAGUGAAAAAAGUUCUAAAUUCUUGCCUUGAAAUUCUUCAAGUUUCUUGUCUGUAGAAGGCUGAGACUUCAUGAAAAAGGUUAAACCUGAGCAUGGAGGUGAUCCUGAACCACACCACUCAGUCCCACUAGGCCUGCUGCAUUCAGUUACUAAAGUCUAACCUACUCAUCUCAUUUGUGGAAGUCAGAAACAUCAUUCGUGACCUUUUCUGAAAGCUAAAUUUGGAGACAACAUAACCACCUAGAACUACAGUUUGGAGGAGAUAUUGGUGAACUCUUAGAAAGUUUUCAGUGUAACUGGUCUCAAGAUAAAAUACAGAACUUCCACUUUUCAUUGGCUCUAAUUACUGGUAAACAGCCCCCUACUGUAGAACAUUCAGGACACUUGGGGUUUUUGUGUAUUUUGUGUGUGUGUGUGUGUGUGUGUGUAGGGGGGUAAAUGAUGCAUGUUGUUGAGAGUUCUGAAUGUUAGGGAGCCCAGAAUACCAGGAAGAAGGG